GACGAACGCUGGCGGCGUGCUUAACACAUGCAAGUCGAACGGAAAGGCCCUGCUUUUGUGGGGUGCUCGAGUGGCGAACGGGUGAGUAACACGUGAGUAACCUGCCCUUGACUUUGGGAUAACUUCAGGAAACUGGGGCUAAUACCGGAUAGGAGCUCCUGCUGCAUGGUGGGGGUUGGAAAGUUUCGGCGGUUGGGGAUGGACUCGCGGCUUAUCAGCUUGUUGGUGGGGUAGUGGCUUACCAAGGCUUUGACGGGUAGCCGGCCUGAGAGGGUGACCGGCCACAUUGGGACUGAGGUACGGCCCAGACUCCUACGGGAGGCAGCAGUGGGGAAUAUUGCACAAUGGGCGGAAGCCUGAUGCAGCAAUGCCGCGUGCGGGAUGCCGGCUUUCGGGUUGUAAACCGCUUUCGACUGUGACGAAGCGUGAGUGACGGUAAUGGGUAAAGAAGCACCGGCUAACUACGUG
rnacentral:rRNA from 1 species